CUUAAAGAUUGGGAUUAGGAGUACAUCGACUUCUAGAAUUUGGAGGUUCUGUGGACCAGUCUAAGAGAGGGGGCACAGAAUCAGAUAUACCUUACCUCGAUCGGAGAGCCGUGUGAAGGGUGUUUCUAGAGUUAAAGAUUUGAGUGCACUUCACGUGGAUCACUGCGUGAGAGUGAGACUCAGCUAACGCCAAGACAUGGCUAGAAUUUCGGAUGUAAAGACAUUUAACCGCCUUGGUGGCUCGGUCGGAUGCCUAGGCCAAGGCUCGAGAUAACCAGUAGAUAGCCGAUUCCAUCAAGGACUUCAGUUAGCCUUGCAUCGACAAAAUUGUAGGUUCACAGACUCGCACCUUAUUGGUUAAUUGGGGACCCACGUGUUAUUGUAAAAGAAAUUUUAUACUUCAGUUAUCUGCUUUAAAGUACGUAUGAAUAUAUUU